AGUGAACGCUGGCGGCGUGCCUAAUACAUGCAAGUCGAACGGAGAUUAAGUAGCUUGCUAUUUAAUCUUAGUGGCGCACGGGUGAGUAAUAUAUAGCUAACUUGCCCAUUACUAAGGGACAACAGUUGGAAACGACUGCUAAUACCUUAUACUCCGUAUCUAUAUAAGUAGAUACGGGAAAGUUUUUCGGUAAUGGAUAGGGCUAUAUCGUAUCAGCUAGUUGGUAAGGUAAUGGCUUACCAAGGCUAUGACGCGUAACUGGUCUGAGAGGAUGAUCAGUCACACUGGAACUGAGACACGGUCCAGACUCCUACGGGAGGCAGCAGUAGGGAAUAUUGCUCAAUGGGGGAAACCCUGAAGCAGCUACGCCGCGUGGAGGAUGACACUUUUCGGAGCGUAAACUCCUUUUCUUGGGAAAGAAUUAUGACGGUACCCAAGGAAUAAGCACCGGCUAACUCCGUG
rnacentral:rRNA from 1 species